rnacentral:lncRNA from 1 species
UUCUAGGCGUAUCCCCAAGUUCUGCGUGAUGAGCAUGGAUUUCGUGAUAGUCUUUAACAGCAGAGGCAAACCCAGAAAGCGACAGGGGCAAGGUGGAACAACAAAAGAAAGUACUUGAGGCACAGAUGUGGCACCUAGGGAGAGGGGGAAUAACUGCCCUGUCUCAUCAGCUUCAGAACUGACUGACCACAGGGUCAGUGGGAGCCUCUUAUGUCAGUAUCGAUGACUCACAGACAGCACAGGACAUUUGAGCCCAAGAUCUGUGCGGACUAAGCAUUUUCUUCUCACCUUAACUUGACUUUGCUCUAUGAGUGAAGUCCUCUUUACAGGGGAGGGACAUAUUUUUCUAGAAUGUUAAGCAAUUCAAGCUUAAGAGAAUACUUUAAUGUGAACAGUGCUUUGAAAGAAAAAAAAAAAAACCUUGGACCCCAUGGUUUUUAUUUUAUAGUUUUAUUUAACAUGCUUAGAGGGAGGCUGAUUUAUUUGGUAACUUGGUAGGAGGGUAAGAAUGGUCCCUUCUGUUAACUGUAGAAUCCAUAGGUUUCUCCUCUGCAUCUUCACAUUGCCCUGUAAUCCCUACUAGAAUUGUACAGAUGUAUACCCAAGGAAUCUAGAGUAAAAAGUAAAUGGCGGCAACCCAAGUCUAAGUCUCAGCACGGGGUCCAUUAGCAACACUUAGCAUUUUUAUAGAUUAAUGCUCUGUCACAGGCAAAACCAAGCAUGGAUGGUAGCAGAUGAAAAUGUAAUUAUCUAGGCCUUCCUCAGUUUUGCUAUAGUUGACUUGAUUUUAGAGAAAAAUGUUUUAACAUUUGACAAUUUCACUGUCAGAACUUCUUAUGAAUAUCUGUUGAAUUUCUUUAUGUGUAGCAUUAACUGGUCCAAAAACCCAGAAACUUUAUUUGUUGAAAGUCAGCCUCAGUUGGACAUAGUGGAUCGAACCUUUAAUCCCAGCACUUGGAGGCAGAGGCAGGCAGAUCUCUGUGAGUUCAAGGUCAGAUUGGUCUACACAGUGCCUUCCAGGACAGCCAGGGUUACAUGGUGAGACCCGUCUUUAAAAAAAAAAACAAAAAACAAAAGUCAACCUAUCAAUAAAAAGGCAACUCAAUCCUUUUCUUCUUUUAAUGCACCCUGGAAACCAUGUAAUGUGAGCAGCUCAGAUUUUAAUUACAGUCCGUAGUUCAUUGGCUCUACGAAGAGUCUAAAUGAGAUUGUAGGAUAGAUAACAUUAGGUGUCCCUACUGGUUUUUUUCCCUGAGGUCUAACUGAAUACAUUUAGUACCACGAGAUAGUACAUGUGCUAAAGUCAGUGCACUUGUGUCAUGUAUAACAUCCUAUAGUGAAAGAUAAAAUUCCAUUUAGCUCUUAGAUUAAUGCCUUAUCAUUGUUAGAUUACCACACUCAGGUU